AAAGCGAAGAAGUUCCAUGGGUGAACAGGUCAGAGGGUCAGUGGUUCAGUGGCUUAGUUGUUUAGUGGUUCAGUGCUUCAGUGCUUCAGUGCUUCAGUGCUUCAGUAAUUCAGUGCUUCAGUGUUUCAGUGUUUCAGUGUUUCAGUGAUAGUGAUUUAGUGGUACACUGCAGUCAGCAACUGGAAUUCCAACAUUUGUAGUAACUCAAUUUGGAUUAAGCUCCUAAUAUGUCAGAAUCGCAUCCAAAUACAUUGAUUAAUUAAAAAAUGCGCAACUACACCUCCACGUUUGAAAAUUUCCGAUGGUGUUCCACUUUCAGAAAAGAAAAGUAACCGAGGAAUCUCCCUCAAAUUCUCCGUAAAUAUUAUAGAAUGAGUGAAAAACUCAUAUUAAUGAAAAACUGCUGAUUAGUUCUGGUUGAAAAUAAUAAAACAAGAGCAGAGAUUUGCGACGUCACAGUCAAA